rnacentral:rRNA from 1 species
GGGGGGGCGGCGCUACCUGCAGUCGAACGGUAACAGGAAGAAGCUUGCUUCUUUGCUGACGAGUGGCGGACGGGUGAGUAAUGUCUGGGAAACUGCCUGAUGGAGGGGGAUAACUACUGGAAACGGUAGCUAAUACCGCAUAACGUCGCAAGACCAAAGAGGGGGACCUUCGGGCCUCUUGCCAUCGGAUGUGCCCAGAUGGGAUUAGCUUGUUGGUGGGGUAACGGCUCACCUAGGCGACGAUCCCUAGCUGGUCUGAGAGGAUGACCAGCCACACUGGAACUGAGACACGGUCCAGACUCCUACGGGAGGCAGCAGUGGGGAAUAUUGCACAAUGGGCGCAAGCCUGAUGCAGCCAUGCCGCGUGUAUGAAGAAGGCCUUCGGGUUGUAAAGUACUUUCAGCGGGGAGGAAGGGAGUAAAGUUAAUACCUUUGCUCAUUGACGUUACCCGCAGAAGAAGCACCGGCUAACUCCGUGCCAGCAGCCGCGGUAAUACGGAGGGUGCAAGCGUUAAUCGGAAUUACUGGGCGUAAAGCGCACGCAGGCGGUUUGUUAAGUCAGAUGUGAAAUCCCCGGGCUCAACCUGGGAACUGCAUCUG